rnacentral:rRNA from 1 species
GACGAACGCUGGCGGCGUGCUUAACACAUGCAAGUCGAACGGAAAGGCCCCUUUGUUGGUACUGGAGUGGCGAACGGGUGCGUAACACGUGAGUAACCUGCCCUUGCCUUCGGGAUAACUUCAGGAAACUGGGGCUAGUACCGGAUAGGAAUCCUAGCUGCAUGCUGGGGGUUGGAAAGCUUCGGCGGUAUUGGAUGGACUCGCGGGUUAUCAGCCUGUUGGUGGGGUAGUGGGUUACCAAGGCCGUGACGGGUAGCCGGCCCGAGAGGGCGACCGGCCACAUGGGGACUGAGGGAGGGCCCAGACGCCUACGGGAGGCAGCAGGGGGGAAUAUUGCACAAUGGGGGGGAGCCUGAGGCGGAAACGCCGCGGGCGGGAUGAUGGGCUGUGGGUUGUAAACCGGUUUCAGCAGGGGAGAAGCUUGUGGUGACGGUACCUGCAGAAGAAGCACCGGCUAACUACGUG